rnacentral:rRNA from 1 species
GAUGAACGCUGGCGGCGUGCCUAACACAUGCAAGUCGAGCGAAAAGACAAUAAGAUCUUCCUCCUACGGUUAGCGACGGGCGGACGGGUGAGACGUAGAUAACCACCUAAUUAUUCUGGGAUAAAUACGGGGAAAAGCUGCUGAUACUACCUAAUAUAACUUACGGCAGAAAUCAAUAGAGAUACAGGGCUUUCCUGGUUCUAUUAGAUGGUUCCGGGCCGGAUUAGCUAGUUGGUAAGGGAACGGCGAACCAAGGCGACGAUGCGUAGCCGGACUGAGAGGAUGAUCAGCCACACUGGAACUGAGACACGGUCCAGACUCCUACGGGAGGCAGCAGUGGGGAAUCUUCGACAAUGGGCGGAAGCCUGAUGCAGCCACGCCGCGUGAGUGAAGAAGGUCUUCGGGUCGUAAAGCCCUUUUGUUGGGGAAGAAAAAAAGUGUGUGAAACUCUAGCCGUCCUGACGGUACCCAAUGAGAAAGCCCCGGCUAACUUCGUG